rnacentral:rRNA from 1 species
CGCUGGCGGCAGGCCUAAUACAUGCAAGUCGAGCGCACCUUCGGGUGAGCGGCGGACGGGUGAGUAACGCGUGGGAACGUGCCCUUUGGUUCGGAACAACACAGGGAAACUUGUGCUAAUACCGAAUGUGCCCUUCGGGGGAAAGAUUUAUCGCCAUUGGAGCGGCCCGCGUUGGAUUAGGUAGUUGGUGGGGUAAAGGCCCACCAAGCCGACGAUCCAUAGCUGGUCUGAGAGGAUGAUCAGCCACACUGGGACUGAGACACGGCCCAGACUCCUACGGGAGGCAGCAGUAGGGAAUCUUGCGCAAUGGGCGAAAGCCUGACGCAGCCAUGCCGCGUGAAUGAUGAAGGUCUUAGGAUUGUAAAAUUCUUUCACCGGGGAAGAUAAUGACGGUACCCGGAGAAGAAGCCCCGGCUAACUUCGUGCCAGCAGCCGCGGUAAUACGAAGGGGGCUAGCGUUGCUCGGAAUUACUGGGCGUAAAGGGCGCGUAGGCGGAUAGUUUAGUCAGAGGUGAAAGCCCAGGGCUCAACCUUGGAACUGCCUUUGAUACUGGCUAUCUUGAGUUCGGGAGAGGUGAGUGGAAUGCCGAGUGUAGAGGUGAAAUUCGUAGAUAUUCGGCGGAACACCAGUGGCGAAGGCGACUCACUGGCCCGAUACUGACGCUGAGGCGCGAAAGCGUGGGGAGCAAA